UGAGUGUGAGAGAGAGAGAGAGAGAGAGAGAGAGAGAGAGAGAGAACUUGCCUUAAAAUAGCCUCAUAUGGUCAAAUAGGCUUGCCCGUGACUCAUCUCUCCGUGUGCCUCAUGAGUCAGGCCCAACAGAAUCCGUGCACGCAGGAGAGAAUCACUGUCUAACUUUGGGUGAUCCAAACCUGGAUUAAAUACUUCACCACGUAAAGAUUGUAUGGAAGAGGCGACCCUUGUGUGCUUUUAGCUUUUAUUGUUUAAAGUGAUCAAGUAGAUUAGAGGAGGCGUUGGUUUGAGUCACUUUUAAUCGAUUCUUUCCUUAAUGGCAGUGGCGAGGUAGAAUGGGCAUGUGCCCAAUAUUGCUAUUUCCACGACUGACCGACCGCCACCAUUAAUGGUCACUGCACACAUCACAAGAGGGGCCAGGUGUGCUGUGUCAGCCUGUUUAGGAGAUGACACAGAGGGAGGGUAAGGGGAUGCUAUAGUCUGUGUGUGACUUAUGGUAAUUAAAUUGUAUGCUUAAGUCUUAGAGAAAUGAUGGUUCAUGGUCACAGCUUUUGUCACCUGAUAAAAGAGUCCUUAAAUCAGCUUAGUCUAUGUGAUGUAACCUUGUUUUAUACCUUAAUACAGAUGUAGUAGAGUGUGUGAUCCUAUGGUCACAGUUUCUCAUGGCUGUGUUACAUAUGUAUUUAUGUCAGACUUUGGUAGUACCUAUAAAUGUAUAUCCCGUAUUUAACUCAUGGUUGAAGCUUUUUGGCCUCUUCAGUCCUUAAGGAGAUAAAUAUUUUAUUAAACAUCUACUAUGUUUUGUUGUAAACAUGUUGUAUGCACAUCAGCAGAACAGAAUUUGUAUAGCUUGAACAUUUGAAGAAUUAAUAAAUCUUGACUUUGAA
rnacentral:lncRNA from 1 species